rnacentral:lncRNA from 1 species
UGAUUUAAAAAAUAUAAUGAAAGUUACAAAAUAAAAUACUAGAUAUAAAAAUUAAUGUAAUUUUAAAAUAGACUCUAUUAUAAUUAAAUACAACUUAAAAACAAAACUUUUAAGGUAAUGGAAAAUCACGUAUCGUUGAAGAGUACAAUUAGUUGGUAUUCUCUUUCUAUUUUUUCUUUGUUUUUUUCCUUUAUUCCUCUUCCUUUCCUUACAAGGUUGUUAUUCUCGUCGUACCACCACUACCAUCUUAAACUCGUCGUCUUCCUCUUUCUUUUUCUUCUAUUUUUCUUCCCAAUCCUUAUUUUUCUUUUUCCUUUACCUCUUCCUCUUCCUCCAGUCUCUUGUCUCUUCUAACUCUAGUAACCACUAUUACGCCU